rnacentral:rRNA from 1 species
AUUGAACGCUGGCGGCAUGCUUUACACAUGCAAGUCGAGCGGUAACAGGUUAAGCUGACGAGUGGCGAACGGGUGAGUAAUGCAUCGGAACGUGCCCGGUCGUGGGGGAUAACGCAGCGAAAGCUGCGCUAAUACCGCAUACGCUCUGAGGAUGAAAGCGGGGGACCGUAAGGCCUCGCGCUAUCGGACCGGCCGAUGUCAGAUUAGGUAGUUGGUGGGGUAAAGGCUCACCAAGCCAACGAUCUGUAGCUGGUCUGAGCGGACGACCAGUCACACUGGGACUGAGACACGGCCCAGACUCCUACGGGAGGCAGCAGUGGGGAAUUUUGGACAAUGGGCGAAAGCCUGAUCCAGCAAUGCCGCGUGCAGGAAGAAGGCCUUCGGGUUGUAAACUGCUUUUGUACGGAGCGAAAAGGUCUCCUCUAAUACAGGGGGCUCAUGACGGUACCGUAAGAAUAAGCACCGGCUAACUACGUGCCAGCCGCCGCGGUAA